CUCAGAAACUGUUCUCCUGGAACUCCAUUGCAUGGGGUUAAAGAAACUUUCACUGCCUCUGCAGACCCUGUGUCAUCAAGGGAACAACCAGACUACUUCAUAAAAUACACAGCUAUAGUGUCCUGUGAACAACGCCAGAGCUACAAGGAUGACUUCAAUGCAGAGUAUGGUGAAUACCAGAAUUUGUUGGCUCAGACAGACAACCUUGCCAAGAAAUUCGGGAAGUUUAAUGAACAACAGAAGUUUGUGACUCAGGGGUCCACAGAAUAUCAGGUGCUUUGUUGUCAAGUCCUGGCAGAGCAUCAGAAGAUACAACAGUGUAGCCCUACCUACGCUGAAUUGAAGAAGAGAUGUCAGUACCUACACAACAAGCUGUCUCACAUUAAGAGACUAAUCCAAGAAUUUGACAAUCAGCAAGAGGAGUCCUGUAACCAGUUGUCUGCUUUGGCCAGGACACAUCUAUGAGCUGUGGCAUAUUUAUUUAGUUCCCCUAGGAUUCUUUAUCUUAAUAUUGAACAUUAGCUUGUUUGUUUAAAACUGAAGAUUAGCUUCUAUAGGAUUAUAUAAGUUGGUAUUGAGCAGUAGGUUGUUUAUUUAAAAAACAAUAUCCAGUUCCUUUAAUUGUAUAUAAGAUAGUAUUUCAUGUUUUCAUUAAAGAAGUUUCAGUACCGUUAACUCCUUGUGGUGAUGUUGCUUAUAUGAUAUUCGAAGCUGCUUUUUUCUGGUCCCUCUUUUCUUCGAG